CAGCAUUGCUUCUCUUGGAUCUCAAGCCUUCAGACUUGGACUGGAAUUACACCAUCAGCUCUCCUGUGUUUCCAGCUUGCUGACUCACCCUGCAGAUCUCGGGACUUGUCAGCAUCCAUUGUCAUAUGAGGAAACUGAGGCACAGAAAGGCGGCUUCUCGGAAACUCUCCAGAGAAUAAACUCUUGGUUCAAUGUUUAACGGACCUGAGAAAGUAAGAUCCCUCUCCGAAAACCUGGAUUUGGGGGGAAAUAUUUAUGCUUUAAAAUUAAAAUAUAAAGAAAUAC